CUCCAGUUGAUCGCAUGGUCUUCUGGGAAAGCUUUCGCGGUAUGGGAUGGGGUCGCGUCCUAUCAGCUUGACGGCGGGGUAACGGCCCACCGUGGCUUCGACGGGUAGCCGGCCUGAGAGGGCGACCGGCCACAUUNGGACUAAGAUACGGCCCAGACUCCUACGGGAGGCAGCAGUGGGGAAUAUUGCACAAUGGGCGCAAGCCUGAUGCAGCGACGCCGCGUGAGGGAUGGAGGCCUUCGGGUUGUAAACCUCUNUUNUCGGGGAGCAAGCGAGAGUGAGUUUACCCGUUGAAUAAGCACCGGCUAACUACGUGCCAGCAGCCGCGGUAAUACGUAGGGUGNAAGCNUUAUCCGGAAUUAUUNGGCGUAAAGGGCUCGUAGGCGGUUCGUCGCGUCCGGUGUGAAAGUCCAUCGCUUAACGGUGGAUCCGCGCCGGGUACNGGCGGGCUUGAGUGCGGUAGGGGAGACUGGAA
rnacentral:rRNA from 1 species